GAUGAACGCUGGCGGCGUGCCUAAUACAUGCAAGUCGAGCGGUAAGGCCUCUUCGGAGGUACACGAGCGGCGGACGGCUGAGUAACACGUAGGAACGUACCCCAAAGUGAGGAAUAAGCACCAGAAAUGGUGUCUAAUACCGCAUGUGCUAUAAGGAGUAAAGCUUCGGCGCUUUGAGAACGGCCUGCGCAUGAUUAGCUUGUUGGUGAGGUAAAAGCUCACCAAGGCGACGAUCAUUAGCUGGUCUGAGAGGAUGAUCAGCCAGACUGGGACUGAGACACGGCCCAGACUCCUACGGGAGGCAGCAGUAGGGAAUUUUCCACAAUGGGCGAAAGCCUGAUGGAGCAACGCCGCGUGCAGGAUGAAUGCCUUCGGGUUGUAAACUGCUUUUAUAUGUGACGAUUAUGACGGUAGCAUAUGAAUAAGGAUCGGCUAACUCCGUGCCAGCCGCCGCGGUAA
rnacentral:rRNA from 1 species